rnacentral:rRNA from 1 species
GUGAGGAAUAUUGGGCAAUGGGGGAAACCCUGACCCAGCGACGCCGCGUGAAGGAUGAAGGCCUUCGGGUUGUAAACUUCUUUUGGAGGGGACGAAUAAAUUGACGGUACCCUCAGAAAAAGCCACGGCUAACUACGUGCCAGCAGCCGCGGUAAUACGUAGGUGGCGAGCGUUACUCGGAAUUACUAGGCGUAAAGCGUAUGUAGGCGGUUGUAUAAGUCUAUGGUGAAAUUUCCUGGCUCAACUGGGAAGGGACAUAGAUACUGUAUGGCUUGAGUGUUGGAGGGGGAGACGGAAUUCCUGGUGUAGCGGUGAAAUGCGUAGAUAUCAGGAGGAACACCGAUGGCGAAAGCAGUCUCCUGGCCAAAUACUGACGCUGAGGUACGAAAGCUAGGGUAGCAAACAGGAUUAGAAACCCCAGUAGUCC